AGAGUUUGAUCCUGGCUCAGGAUGAACGCUAGCUACAGGCUUAACACAUGCAAGUCGAGGGGAACGAUAUUGGAAGCUUGCUUCCGAUAGGCGUCGACCGGCGCACGGGUGAGUAACGCGUAUCCAACCUGCCCACCACUUGGGGAGUAACUCGCGAAAGUAAGACUAAUACCCAAUGAUAUCUCUAGAAGACAUCUGAAAGAGAUUAAAGAUUUAUCGGUGAUGGAUGGGGAGUGCGUCUGAUUAGCUUGUUGGCGGGGUAACGGCCCACCAAGGCAACGAUCAGUAGGGGUUCUGAGAGGAAGGUCCCCCCACAUUGGAACUGAGACACGGUCCAAACACCUACGGGAGGCAGCA
rnacentral:rRNA from 1 species